ensembl:lncRNA
UUUGAGAGUCGGAGGUCAAUUUGGAGGUCUUCAAAGAGACAGUAUCCUUCAUUGCCCAUGGGACAGGAAGCGUUCGGUAGGUAAACCCAAGAGUCUGUGUGGGCCAGGAGGACCUCACGGAAAGCAGCCUGCCUGCUCCUGUCUCUCUCUGCAAGCAGCCAUGUUUAACAGUCUCUUCCCCUGAAGUCAUUACCCAAAUUUGAUGAGGAGCUGUCUGACAAAUCUCUACACUGGUCAAAAGAAUCUGUCCAACCACAACGCCACAUUUCUCCAGCCCACCACAGAUUUCUGAGGACUGUCCAUGCCUACAGACUUUUUUUUUUAAUCCUUUUCAUUUCUCUUGCCUUUUUCUCUGUGGUUCAACAUUCAUGUAAUCUAA